rnacentral:rRNA from 1 species
UAGGGAAUCUUCCUCAAUGGACGCAAGUCUGAUGGAGCAACGCCGCGUGAGUGAAGAAGGUUUUCGGAUCGUAAAGCUCUGUUGUUGGUGAAGAAGGAUAGAGGCAGUAACUGGUCUUUAUUUGACGGUAAUCAACCAGUAAGUCACGGCUAACUACGUGCCAGCAGCCGCGGUAAUACGUAGGUGGCAAGCGUUGUCCGGAUUUAUUGGGCGUAAAGCGAGCGCAGGCGGAAUGAUAAGUCUGAUGUGAAAGCCCACGGCUCAACCGUGGAACUGCAUCGGAAACUGUCAUUCUUGAGUGCAGAAGAGGAGAGUGGAAUUCCAUGUGUAGCGGUGGAAUGCGUAGAUAUAUGGAAGAACACCAGUGGCGAAGACGGCUAUCUGGUCUGCAACAGACGCUGAGGCUCGAAAGAAUGGGUAGCGAACAGG